UUUUUUUUUUAAAGAGACUUGGGGUUCAGGGUUCUCUCUUUGGCAUACCCCAUGGAGAAUCAGGGAGGAAAAGAUAUGUGGGAUCUGAAUAACUAAUCCUGAAACUUGGCCAGGGUUAACUCAAGAUUCACCAGUCCUGCUGUGUUUUAUAGUUAUUCCAAUAUUUCGGUACAAUUUUAAUAGAUAAGAUAAAAAUGCCUGAGGUGUGAGUCACAGGCCUUCAAGUCCGUCCAACCUGGAUGAGUCUUAGAUUCUCUCUAGGACAUUUAGCAAAUUAUUUCUUUGUCGUCGUCGUCUUCGUCUUCUUUGUCUUCGUCUACUUUGUCUUCUUUGUAGUCAUCUUUGUCAUCUUCGUCUUCUUCAUCUUUGUCGUCAUCGUCUUCGUCUUCUUCGUCUUCAUCUUUCUUCUUUUUUAGAUUUUAUUGAUUUAUUCAUGAGAGACAGAGAGAGGCAGAGACACAGGCAGAGAGAGAAGCAGGCUCCCUGUGGGGAGCCCAAUGCAGGACUCGAUCCCAGGACCCCAGGAUCACGACCUGAGCGAAAGGCAGAUGCUCAACCACUGAGCCACCCAGGUGCCCCACAUUUAGUAAGUUUCUAAGUUUUCUAUGCCUUGGUUUCCUCAUCUCUAAAGUGGGGCCUGAACUCGAGGUGAGGACUGAUUAAAUGAACAGUCACUCGUCCAACAAAUAUUGAAGUCCUUACUACAGGCUAGGUUCUAGAGACACGAUAAUGAAUACAUUCCACAUGCUUCCUGCCCUCGUGUAGCUUCCAUCCUAAUGGAUGAGACAGGAAAAAGAGGUAGGCUAUUAUAAAUAAGAUACUGUGAAGAAACCAACACAAGGGAUCCCUGGGUGGCUCAGUCGUUUAGCACCUGCCUUUGGCCUGGGGCGUGAUCCUAGAGUCCCCGGAUCGAGUCCCGCGUCGGGCUCCUGGCAUGGAGCCUGCUUCUCCCUCUGCCUGUGUCUCUGCCUCUCUCUCAAUGUCUAUCAUGAAUAAAUAAAUAAAAUCUUUUUUAAAAUAUUAAAAAAAAAAAGAAACCAACACAAAUGACAAGGAUCCUGUUUUAGAUAAGGUAGCCAGAGAAAGCUCUGAGGAGAUAAUAUUUCAGCCAAAGCCUGAAGGAAAAGGAGCCAGCCAUGAGCGGAACUGAAGCAGAAACAUUCCAGGAAGAGGGAAAACGGUCUGGAGUAAAAAACUUUAGGUGUUCAAAGAACUGAGAACUGGUUUAGUAGUAUUUUGAGCAAAGGGAAGAAUGGAAUAAUGAAUGGGAGGUGAGGGUGCCAGAUGACACAGGUCUUUGUAGGUCGUGAGUUUGGUUUUUUCUCCCUGCAGCGGACUGCCAUGAUCACACCAGCUGACAUGUGGAAGAUUCAUUGAGGCAGAUACACUCCAGUGAAUCAGCGCGCUGCUGCGGAAGUCUGAACUCAAAAAUUUUUUUAAUUGAUUUUAUUUAUUUGACAGUGAAUGAGAAAGAAAGACAGCAUAUGAGGAAGCAACAGGCAGAGGAAGAGAGAAACAGGCUCCCUGCUGAGCAGAGAGUCCAACGUGGGACUCAUCCUAGGACCCCAGGAUCAUGAUCUGAGCCAAAGGCAGAUGCUCA
rnacentral:lncRNA from 1 species